UGUAAGCGUAUACCAAAGUUGUUGCAGUUAAAACGCUCGUAGUCGGAAUUUGGCAGUUCCGGAUGUGUGCACGUCGUGUGCGCGCUUUGCGGGAAUUGCUUUUGUGUGUUCGCGUCGGAUGAGGCACGUUUAUUCGUGAACGUCCGCACGCUGCCACUUUUUACUGUGAGAAAAUCAGAGUGCUCAAAGCAGGCAUUUGCCGUGAAUGUAUUAGCAUGGGAUAAUACUAAAGACUACACAUUUAUGUUGUUGGUUAUGAAUGUGAAGUAAUGAGUGAUGGGAACGGCUUGGGGGUCUCGGUAUUCUGCAGGGAGAGGUGAAAUUCUUGGAUCUGUGGAAGACCACCUGAUGCGAAAGCGUUGAUCAAAGACGUCUCCGUCAA
rnacentral:rRNA from 1 species